GACGAACGCUGGCGGCGUGCUUAACACAUGCAAGUCGAACGGAAAGGCCCUGCUUGCAGGGUACUCGAGUGGCGAGCGGGUGAGUAACACGUGGGUGAUCUGCCCUGCACUUCGGGAUAAGCCUGGGAAACUGGGUCUAAUACCGGAUAGGAGCCAUUUUUAGUGUGAUGGUUGGAAAGUUUUUUCGGUGUAGGAUGAGCUCGCGGCCUAUCAGCUUGUUGGUGGGGUAAUGGCCUACCAAGGCGGCGACGGGUAGCCGGCCUGAGAGGGUGGACGGCCACAUUGGGACUGAGAUACGGCCCAGACUCCUACGGGAGGCAUCAGUGGGGAAUAUUGCACAAUGGGCGCAAGCCUGAUGCAGCGACGCCGCGUGGGGGAUGACGGCCUUCGGGUUGUAAACUCCUUUCGCUAGGGACGAAGCUUUUUGUGACGGUACCUAGAUAAGAAGCACCGGCUAACUACGUG
rnacentral:rRNA from 1 species